GUUUUGUGCUUGAAGAAGACAGAUUGAGUAGUGAUUAUCAAGCCCAUGAUGAUCAAGUAUUCCUUAUGAUCACUGGUUACACUUAGCUUGAGAGCAUAUGCAAAGAAAUCGCUCAGUUCAGUGGUAAAACUGACGUAGAGGGGGUCCCGGGUGCAAUAAUUUCUUUGCCCCCGUCCCCCUUUGCAAGUGUGUCCAAAAUGUAAAUCCCCAUCUAUCAUACAACACCUACAAUUAAUUGCCAGCUAGGGAUCUACCUUUUGCCAAUCUUUGCACUGUUGCAUUUAGC